GAUGAACGCUGGCGGCGUGCCUAAUACAUGCAAGUCGAGCGAACAGAUGAGGAGCUUGCUCCUCUGACGUUAGCGGCGGACGGGUGAGUAACACGUGGAUAACCUACCUAUAAUACUGGGAUAACUUCGGGAAACCGUAGCUAAUACCGGAUAAUAUAUUGAACCGCAUGGUUCAAUAGUGAAAGACGGUUUUGCUGUCACUUAUAGAUGGAUCCGCGCCGCAUUAGCUAGUUGGUAAGGUAACGGCUUACCAAGGCAACGAUGCGUAGCCGACCUGAGAGGGUGAUGGGCCACACUGGAACUGAGACACGGUCCAGACUCCUACGGGAGGCAGCAGUAGGGAAGCGUCCGCAAUGGGCGAAAGCCUGACGGAGCAACGCCGCGUGAGUGAUGAAGGUCUUCGGAUCGUAAAACUCUGUUAUUAGGGAAGAACAAAUGUGUAAGUAACUAUGCACGUCUUGACGGUACCUAAUCAGAAAGCCACGGCUAACUACGUG
rnacentral:rRNA from 1 species